rfam:Methanopyrus kandleri AV19, complete genome.
GGCCGUGGGGCCGCUAAGGGGAGGAAGCUCCGCCCCCGGGCCCGGGCCCGCCGCCCCGAGAGGGGGCCGGCCGAGAGGCCGGGGACCGGCCACAGAAACGACACGUCCGUCGGCGGAUGGCGAUGACGCGGCUGAGGCCCGCCGUGGGCGGGCCGAGAAGGGCCCCGGCGACGGGGCCCGAGCUAACCCGCAGAGGACGCCGGCGGGAUCGGUGAAACGGGCCGCCCGGCGGGGGGCGAGGCCGAAUGAGCCCGAUGAUACGAGGGUGAUGCCCCCGAUGAGUUCCCGGGCCGGAGGGGGAUGGUAGGCCGCUGAGGUGAAUGCCGCCGUCUAAGGCUACAGAAGGCGGGCUAUAGCC